GGGUGAUUAGCUCAGUUGGCUAGAGCAUCUCGUUUACACCGAGGAGGUCAGAGGUUCGAGUCCUCUAUCACCCACCA
rnacentral:tRNA from 1 species